UCCGUACUGGGCGAGCUGAUCAGCCAUGCCGCGUGAGUGAAGAAGGCCUUCGGGUUGUAAAGCUCUUUUAGUUGGAAAGAAAGAGUCAUAGUGAAAAGCUAUGAUUUAUGACGGUACCAACAGAAAAAGCACCGGCUAACUACGUGCCAGCAGCCGCGGUAAUA
rnacentral:rRNA from 1 species